CCCCGCCCACCCCCUGGCCUUCAUGAUUGGUGAGAAACACUACAACAGGAACAGCGAUCCUCGCUCUCCACUGGACUAGUCAGCCGCCGCUCAAAGUUGCUCCCACCUUCUCCCCGCCCCUUUUCCCGGGUUGGUCCUCCCGCUAAUCAUUCUCUGUCCUCGCUUCCAACGUCGCUUUGGAGAAUUGGCAGUCAAGCCUCGCCAUCCCGCCUCCGGAAAGCGAACUUUAUUUUUAUUGGUGAAAGAACAUCUUCCUGUAUACCUGAUUGGGCAAGGAAGGAACUAGUCUGCACGCCCCCUACCAUUAUUACUCUCCCUUUACGGGCUUGGGAAACACAGCUGUAAAGUCCUCCCCACUUUGCUUUCUAGGAGCUCCUUUCCCUUUAAAUGUUGUUGGGGGUCGAGGACAAACUCAUAUCCUAUAUUGAAGAAAGCUGGAAAGGGACAAGAGAAAAAUUCAAAAUUUUCUCCCGAUGAGUAAUGCAUCCAGAGCUGGCGCUCGGAUCCUGCGGAACCUUAUCCUGUGGUCCAGUGAAUGGAAUGGUUAGAAUUGAGUUAGAAUACCUGAAAGUCCAGUGCUAAUUCUUCCUGAGAUUUACUCAACAAGUUUCGUCCACUGUCCGCUCUACUCAUACCAUUGAUUGCACUGGCAUUUUGCCACGCGAAAGAGCUUUAAUCAAGGUAUCUGAAAACCUGGAGGUUUCCUUGCUUGUCUAGUCAGUUGAACCCAAGUCGGUACCAUAAGGCUGAUUCUUGAACGACUGAGGUGCCUCUCGGGAGAAAACGCAUCUCUCAGAGGGAGUCUGAUACCAGAAGCUUCACCCUGGAGCGGAAACUCACUCAUUGAAAAGAGAAGAAAUUACGGGAAAGCCUAGUGUGGCGUCUGCAUUAGAAUUUCCCCAGGUUCCCAGGGAAGCUGCAAGAACCAAAAGAGCCAACAGGUAAUGAAUCAGAGAAGACCAGAAUCACCAUAAAGAGACAGAAUGGCUCCUAACCCUACGCACUUCAGAAAAGGAUAAAAUGUGCCAUUGUAUCUAAAAAGAUAAGCAUAUCCAUCAGAAUGAGAAUGGUUAGCCACAGAGGUAUACAAAUAGAAGAGUCACAGAAAACUGCUGGCAGCCUUCAUUCAAGCCCUUAUGGAGAGAGGAUACCUUGAUUGAAGGCCUCAGUUUAUCAAUCUGAGUGGGAGGAGGAACCAUAAAAAUGUCUAAAAGCAAUGAUAAGAAACAAGGAUAUCACCUCUAGGUCCUGUGAAAAUGAGAUGUAGGAGAAAACAGUGACCACUGAGAGAGCUGAGAGUGUAGUUUCUUCAAAGGCACCUUAAAUGAAUUAUCUAAUUUGUUCUUCAAAACAACCUUGUGACCUAGGUGCUAAUACCAUGUUCUACCUUUCACGGAAGAAAAAAAUCUGUUCAGAGACAUGAACUUGCUGAAAGUCAUACAGUGACUUCCUUCCAAGGCAGGAACCAACAGUUGAGCAAUCCCAGUGGACGAAGUAUGCCUUUUGCCAAUACUUUCAGCUAAGAUCUCAGUGUGGACAACAGCCUAGCUUGAGACGUGAGCGCAUAGCUAGAACCAAGGAGUGGAAUCAGCCUCAACCUCACCACACUGACUGAAAGGGAAGAAUGCUUUGUUUUGCAAAAGAAAAUCAAGGCAUUGCUACCAAAAGAAGAGAGGCAUCUGGGAAGCUGCAACAAUGAGCAUUUGCUAUGGUACAUAUGGAUCUACUUAUGAUGUGAGCUAGACGUUUUUGGCAAUUGGAUUAUCGUUUGUUCAACUAUUAUUUUCAGAGAUUGGGUAUUGCUCUAUUGACCAGACUGGAGUACAGUGGUGUGACUGUAGCUCACUGCAAAUAAAUAUGGAGGAAGUGAUAGUGUGUGAUCUCUGACACUAGGUCAUACAGGGCAUUACAGCUUCCUCCUCUACUUCUCACAUCACUCACUCUGCAGAAGCCUGAUGCCUGAUCAUGAGGACACUCAACCAGCACGAAGGAGAGGAACUAAGGCCCCUGUCAGCAACUGUGUCAGUAAGCUGCCUUGGAAGUGGAUACUGUAGCCCCAAGAGAGCCUUCAGAUGAUUGCAAACCCAGUCUGCAUAUUCAUCACAGCCUUGUAAGAGAUCCUGAGGCAGAGCCACACAACACCUACUCCCAAAUUUCUGAGCCACAAAAACUGCCAGAUAAUAAACGUGUGUUGUUUUGAGCUGCUAAAUUUUGGGAUAAUUUAUUACACAACAAUGAAAACUAAUACAGGGACUAUACAGAUGUACUUUAAAUCUUCAAGAAAAACAAACACCUGAGAGUUCAUCACCUUACUCAGAACAGCGCACUAUUUAAAACUUACGGAAAAAAAAAAAGAAAAACAAACAAAACCUCACAUUUUCUGCAUGCAAACCAAGUCCCGGAUGCUGUCAGGUGCUUUAAAACUUAUAACUUUCUAUGAUUCAGAAUCUCAGAGAUACUAAUAGAUUCUUCUUAGGUUCAUAUUAAUACUGACACAUGGGCUCCAUGAUUUUAUUGAUGAUUCUCUUCAUCUCUUCUGCUGAAAAAAAAAAGGAAAGCAAGCACAAAAUAUGCCUUAAAAGGAUAAUCCAUAUAUUCAGAUACAUUCUGGUACUGCAGGAUUUCUGAAGUCCUCUUAAAUCAUUUCUAGAAGAGGCUGGGCAUGGUGGCUCACGCCUGUAAUCCUAGCACUUUGGGAGGCCGAGGCGGGUGGAUCACGAGGUCAGGAGUUUGAGACCAGUCUGGCCAACAUAGUGAAACCGUGUCUCUACUAAAAAUACAAAAAAUUAGCUGAGUGUGGUGGUAUGCACCUAUAAUCCCAGCUUCUUGGAAGACUGAGGCAGAGAAUCACAUGAACCCAGGAGACCAAGGUUGCAGUGAGCCGAGAUCACACCAUUGCACUCCAGCCCGGGCAACAGUGCGAGACUCCAUCUAAAAGAGAAAAAAGAAAAAAUUAUCUAGAAGAAGUUCACACAAUGGCAGAUACAAGGUUUCUCUGUAGACAAGACUCAGAGAUUGGCAAUGUGUUUGCAAGAAGUAGCUGGGAGGUAAUUGUCUUGAAACUUCAUUUGCAUGAAACUAUGCUUUUUUUGGAGUGAUCUGCAAAACCUGCCAGGGAAUUUACAUUUCUCGGUAAGCCUGUUUUUUGGACGGUCUUUAAGAAGUGCUGCACUUUGUCAAAGGUCUGAAAACUAUAGUGGGUCUUACAUACGAAAAAAUCUUCACUCCUUGCUCUGCUCAUGUACCCCAAAACCUAUAAUCCAAUAAAAAAUUAAAAAAAAAAAAAAAAAAUCUUCACUCCUGAGGCUCAUGAACUACACUAGGUUCUGACAAUGUGGACAGGGCUGUCUCAGUUCUUGUCAAAUUCUCAAAUCCCUACUCUAGUGGCUAGGAGGAAAUCACACUGCUGCAUUAGCUAGCAGCUCAGAACCCCUACGGUCCCAACAUUACUUUUCCUUUCAUUUCCCAUCACCUCUGUUUUAAUGACAACAAAGCUUUUUGUGGCCAAGGUGUAAAUUCAUUGAGUAUGAAAUAUUUACAUUCCACUAUCCAGUCAACAUCAUAUUCUUUCAGCUUUCCUGCGUAGAUAAUCCACACAUACCUGUUCUUUGGCAUCAUAGUGACUAGCAGAUCUUUUGAUAAUCUUAACUUUAUCCCUAUCUGAUUGUCUUCAUUUCAUCCCUACUCAACUUCAAUUCCAUUGCCCAUAAUGGAACCAUUCUCUUGCCAUUCUCUUCAGCCAUUCUCUUGCCAAUAUCCUCAACUACUUUGUCUUUCUAUCACAAAUGUAUAAAGUGGCCUGUAUUCUGUAACUUUCAUUACUGUCUUCCUCCUAGUCACACAGGAUGAGUCAGUCCUUAUUCCAUUUAUGUCGAUUUAUCCACCUGUGCAUCUCUCUCUCUCUUGCUCUGUUUGGAUAUUCUAUGCCAAUAUGUCCCAAUCUUUUUUAUAUUGAGGCACAUACGGAAUAAUGGAGUUCACUAGAAUAAACUGGAGGCAACUGAAACAUCUAUAUUAGCACUUAGUUGAUAUAUAGUAACUGCAAUUAAAAAUACCAAAUGCAAAGGAAGAUAACAAAAGAUAAUAAAUACUGGCUUUUACUGAAUAAAUAUUGAAUUUUAUAAGACUUUGAAACAGUAUCUUUUAAAACUUGGGCUUGCUUCUCAAAAUCCAACUUCUUACUAUUUACUAUUAGGCUUAAA